rnacentral:lncRNA from 1 species
AAAAUUAGCAUUGGUUCCGUAUUUACGAACCGACUCGGCAAUUUCCUUAAUCUGUACGUAUUCUACCGGAGCGUGGACACGCCCACCCUCGGCUCCUUCAAAGACUGGAAAUGCCUGUUGUAUUUUCUUUUGUUCCUCUCGGGGAAUGAAUGAGUCUGCGCACUGCCUCUCUGCGCACUGCCUCUCUGCGCACUGCCUCUCUGCGCAUCUCUCUGCGCAUUGCCUCUCUGCGCAUUGCUGACGCACUACGCAGGGCGGGGGCUCCGCAUAGGGCGGACCUUGAAACCGACUGCCGGGAGGUUGAACAGUACGCUGACUUUCGCCAGCCGCUUUUGGCUUUUUUCUUGACCAAUUAGCUGGCUGGUAAUGGGCUGCUUCUUCCUCCCAGUCUGUUUCCUCAGAGGAGGAUUCUUCACUUGCUUCAGAGCUACUAAGAGCUGGCUUCCUGAGCUCAUCUAGUGACGAGUAUCUCCUAGAGACCUCCGCUAAUCGAUCUUUUUUCUUCUCCCUUUUUCCUCUUUUUCUUCUAAUCUCUCUCCAGGUAUUCCUACCUAACCUUAACUUUUCCUCGGGUUCAAGACCCUUGGAAAGGCCUGUAUACUUAUUUUGUGUACCAUACUUCCUCUUUGUUCCUACUCUUUCUUCCCGCUUUACUUCUGAUAGCUUGUCCUGAAUUUCCUCUAGAAUUUUCAGCCCUAUCUUAAUCACUUGAUAACAUGUGAAAAAGAACAAAAGGGCUCCUAACACCAGAAAAAAUUCAAGGCCAAACAUACUCACUGGUACUCUCGUUCCCCAGCUGAAAAGUUCUGAAUUCAUACAGUUGAAUCCUUCUUAACAGUCUGCUUUACGGGAACCUUUAUCACCGUCGUUCCCCAGCUGAUGAGUUCUGAAUUCGGCAGUUGAAUCCUUCUCAACAGUCUGUGUUACGGGAACCUUUAUAAACGUGAUCCGCAGUUCUGGUUCUGAAAUGAAGUAUCCCUCCUGCGCCAGUCCGGAGUUUUUUCUCGUCUCGGGUUUUCGGCACCAAUUGUUAUUCGACGCGUUCUCACGACCGGCCAGGAAGAACACAACAACCAGAAUCUUCUGCGGCAAAGCUUUAUUGCUUACAUCUUUAUCGGGCCAGAGUGUAAGAAGCAAGAGAGAGAGAAAACGAAACCCCUUUCCUCUUUAAAGAGAACAACAAUUGCCUCGGACGCAUCACUCCCUGAUUGGCUGCAGCCCAUGGCCGAGCUGACGUUCACGGGAAAAACAGAGUACAAGUAGUCGUAAAUACCCUUGGCUCAUGCGCAGAUUAUUUGUUUACCAACUUAGAACACAGGAUGUCAGCGCCAUCUUGUGACGGCGAAUGUGGGGGCGGCUUCCCACAUUGUACCUGGUAUCCCAAGCCCGUGAUCCUGGCUAUUUAAAAGGCUGAGGCUGGAAGAUCAUAAGUUCAAGGCUUGCCUUAUCUGUGGAGUGUCCAGGGUUAGCCUGGACAACUCAGUGAGACCUUGCCUCAAAUAAAAAAAUACAAUAAAGAGAGGUGGCUAAAGAGAUGGCCCAGCAGUUAAGAAGCCUGGCUGCUCAGCAGGGUGUCCUGGCACUCAGGAGGCAGAGGCAAGGGAUCUUUAGGAGUUUGAGGGCAGCCUGGUCUACAGAGCAAGUUCCAGAACAGCCAGGGCUCCACAGACAAACCCUGUCUCAAAAAAACAAAACAGAAAAUCCUGGCUGCUCUUCCAGAGGACCUGGGUUUGAUCCCCACAUACGAGGUUGCCCACAACAGUCUGUGACAGCAGAGUGCAGAGGAUCCAACACCCCCUUGUGAAGUCUCGGCAUCACAGAACAGAACCUACCUAGCCCCUGCCCAGCAUCACAGAACAGAACCUACCUAGCCCCUGCCAAGGGGUUUCAGGUUCCGGUAGGUCUGGACUGGCCUGAGACUGGAUUUCCUCCGUGCUCACAGAGGAAGCUUGCGUCCCAGGACGCCAUGUUGAGAACCUUGCCUUGGGUGCUUUGGAUUUCGGAACCACUCAUCUUAUCUGUCCCUUUCCCUCUGGGCAAGGAUUGGCCCUUUGGGAUGACUUCCUGUGCUUUUUGGCUGCCACAUCUUUCUGGUUGCUCCAUUCUCCUAAUUACCCAUGCACUUGGUUAGAUGCAAAAGAGCAUGAGCAUAGCAAGGAAGAACAGCAGAACCUCAGGCUGUGGAACCGGGCUGCAUGAUGGGGAGGCCCCGGCCUUUGCCUUUGUAAGAAAAAGCUAACGACCCCUAAGGUGGGAAGGGCCCCAGAGCCUAGCGUGUGCUAGUAGUCGCACACUCCGAAGAAAUGCCUUAUGUUUUAUUUUGUUUUUACGUUAUAUUUCGUGUGGUAUGUGUAUGCACAUGGAUGGACUAUGUGUGCUGAGGACAGUUGUCGGGAGUCUGGUGUCUCUUUCCACUGUGUGAUCAACCAUUGACACUAGGUUGCCAGGCUUGGCAUCAAGCCUCUCACUGGCCCUGCUUUUGGCAACAGUGAGACAGAGCUGCCUUUCCCAUAGGUUCGGCCCCACGCCAGCUGGUAUUCUCUAUGCAGAAUACGUGGCAGGGACAAGGUAGACGGUCUUUGCCCCAGAAACAUAAAUCCUGCUAAGAGGCAGGCAGACAGG